rnacentral:rRNA from 1 species
GACGAACCGUGCGAACGUUAUUCGGAAUCACUGGGCUUAAAGGGCGCGUAGGCGGGUCAUCAAGUCCGGGGUGAAAUCCCACGGCCCAACCGUGGAAGUGCCUUGGAUACUGAAGACCUCGAGGGGGAUAGGGGCGUGCGGAACUCAGGGUGGAGCGGUGAAAUGCGUAGAUAUCCUGAGGAACACCGGUGGCGAAAGCGGCGCGCUGGAUCCCUUCUGACGCUGAGGCGCGAAAGCCAGGGGAGCAAACGGG